ensembl:lncRNA
AUGGGAUGGGGAUGGGGACACUCAUGGGAUGGGGACACUCAGAACAUGGGAGAUGAGCCAAGGGCACACAUGGGCCUGCUGGCACUUGGGGACCAGUCUGGCCCCAUAAGGCUCAGUAUGACCCCAUCAGCACCAGUGUGACCCCAUUAGCACCAGUGUGACCCCAAUAGGCCCAGGAUGGCCCCAUCAGCACCAGUGUGACCCCAUUAGCACCAGUAUGACCCCAAUAGGCCCAGGAUGGCCCCAUCACCACCAGUGUGACCCCAUUAGCACCAGUAUGACCCCAAUAGGCCCAAUAUGGCCCCAUCAGCACCAGUGUGACCCCAUUAGCACCAGUAUGACCCCAAUAGGCCCAGUAUGGCCCCUUCAGCACCAAUGUGACCCCAUAAUGCCCAGUAUGACCCCAAUAGGCCCAGGCUGGCCCCAUCAGCACCAGUGUGACCCCAUUAGGCCCAGUGUGACCCCAUUAGGACCAGUCUGGCCCCAUCAGCACCAGUGUGACCCCAUUAGGCCCAGUGUGACCCCAUUAGGACCAGUCUGGCCCCAUACCAUGGGUGGCCGUCCCGGUUCCCCACCCUCCGUAGGUGGCUGGGUUGGAAUCAGGGGUGGGAGGAUCCCUGCCCAUAAAACCAGUGCUCCCAGUGCUCCCGGUGCUCCCGGCCCCACAAGCAGCACCCAUGGGUGCCCUCAGGACCCUCGGGCUCCUGCUCGUCCUGCUCGGCGCCGCCCGCAGCCUCCCGGUGCCCGUCACGGUCCCGGUCCCAGCCACGGCUCCGGUGCCCGUGAGCAUCCCGAACACGAAGCCCCCCCCGACGGCAGCGCCGGCCCCGAGCCCCAGCCCCACAGCUGCGGAGGGGCUGGAGCCGGAGCUGCGGGACCUGCUGGGGCCCCCCCUGCUCCCCAACCUGCCCCUGCCUGCGCCCCACAGCCUGACCCACGCCUUGGCCCAUAGCCCGACCCAUAGCCCGACCCAUAGCCAGCCCCAUAACCUGACCUCCUCCUGGGCUUAAAGCGGAGCCUUUGGGGGGUGUUGGGGACCCCGGGUCCUUGGGAUCAGCUGGGGAGGGACCCAGGGGUCACCAACAUAUCCCCCCCCCCCGCAAAGUGUCCCCAAACCAACGCACACCCGGUUUCUAUAGGGGUAGAUCUAUAGGGUGAGGUCUAUGGGGGGUCUAUAGGGGCGGGUCUAUAUAGGGGACAGGUUUAGAGGGGUUAGGUCUAUAGGGGCAGGUCUAUAAGGGCAAGUCUAUAGGGUCAGAUCUAUAUAGGGAGCGGGUUAAUAGAGCUUAGGUCUAUAGGGGUUAGGUCUAUAAGGGCAGGUCUAUAGAUGCCGGCUCUAUAGGGCAGCUAUAGGUGCAGGUUUUAUAGGACAGCUCCAUAGGGGCAGGUUCUAUAGGGCAGGUUCUAUAGGGCAAAGCUCUAUCUCUAGGGCCGGGCGGGGCUCUGACUCAUGGGCAGCUGCUGCCACGUCCCCCCCCGACCUUCCAGCCCAGCCGGUUCCAGCCCUGCCGGUGCCCAUAAGAGCUCCCAUUGCUCCCAUUGAUCCCAGUGCUCCCAGUGCUCCCAUUGCUCCCAUUGAUCCCGGUGUUCCCAGUGCUCCCAGUGCUCCCAUUGAUCCCAUUGCUUCCGGUGUUGCUCUGGAGCUGCUGCCAUAGACACCAGGUACCGAGGGGGGGGAGCCCUGCGGGGUUGGGGGAGGGGGGGGGAGUGGGGCAGGAUGGAUCCUGGACCUCCAUAACUGGGGUUAAUGGGGGGGUCCCCAUAACUGGGAUCAAUGGGUGGGUCCCCAUAACUGGGAUCAAUGGGUGGGUCCCCAUAACUGGGAUCAAUAGGGGAGUGUCCUCAUAACUGGGAUCAAUGGGUGGGUCCCCAUAACUGGGGUCAAUGGGGGGUGUCCCCAUAACUGGGAUCAAUGGGGGUGUCCCCAUAACUGGGAUCAAUAGGGGAGUGUCCUCAUAACUGGGAUCAAUGGGGGGUGUCUCCAUAACUGGGGUCAAUGGGGGUGUCCCCAUAACUGGGAUCAAUGGGGGUGUCCCCAUAACCUCUCUCUCUUUGCCCCCCCAGCAUGGCCGAGCGCCGCCCCCCAGCGCCCCCCCAGCCGCAGCCGCCCGUGCCCAAGCCCCCCCCCCAGCCGCAGGGCCCCCCCCGGCCCGAUGACCCCCAGCCCCCCCUGCCCCUGGUCCCCGUGGCCCCAUGGCCCCCCCUUCCCGAGUGGAAUGGGGACAGGGACGGGGCAGCCCCAGGCCAUGGGGGGGGCACAAGGGGCAGCUCCUGAGGGGGGGGGGCACCAGCCCCAUGGAGCCGUGGGGGGGGGGGGGGGGGCAGCAGCGCCCCCGGUCCCCAUAGACCCCAUGGAUGCCCCCAUUAAAGGCUCCUUAAGCCCCAGUCCUGGUGUUGCUGCUGAGGGAUCAACCCCCCCCCCCCAGGGAUGAGGAUGGGGGUGAUGCUGCUUCCAUCUUUAAUGGGGAGAUGGGGGGGGGACAUUGGGACAGUGCAGGGAGAUGGGGACACAGGAUCAAUAGGGGGACAGGGGCACACUGGGGAUAUGGGGAUAUGGGGACAUUGGGACACAGGAUCAAUAGGGGGUCAUGGGGACAUUGGGACACAGGAUCAAUAGGGGGUCAUGGGGACAUUGGGAUAUGGGGAUAUUGGGAUAUGGGUACAUGGGGACAUUGGGAUAUGGGGACAUUGGGACACAGGAUCAAUAGGGGGCCAUGUAGAUAUUGGGAUAUGGGGACAUUGGGACACAGGAUCAAUAGGGGGCCAUGUAGAUAUUGGGAUAUGGGGACAUUGGGACACAGGAUCAGUAGGGGGACAUGGGGACAUUGGAAUAUGGGGACAUGGGGACAUUGGGACACAGGAUCAAUAGGGGGACAUGGGGACAUUGGGAUAUGGGGCCAUGGGGACAUUGGGACACAGGAUCAAUAGGGGCCAUGGGGACAUUGGGACACAGGAUCAAUAGGGGCCAUGGGGACAGCUCUAUGCCACCUCCUGCAGCUCUUCCGAGUGUCCCCAGCCUGAAGGGACACAGGAGCAAAGCUGGACACUGAGGUUGUGACCCAUGUACCCCACAUCCAUUACCCCACACCCCAUAUCCCAUGACCCAUAUACCCAGUAUCCCAUAUCCCAUACGCCAUACCCCAUAUCCCAUACCCCCUAUCCCAUAAACCAUAUCCCAUUCCCUGUAUCCCAUAUCCCAUUCCCCAUAUCCCAUUCCAAUAUCCCAUACCCCAUAUCCCAUACCCCAUAUCCCAUUCCCAUAUCCCAUACCCCAUAUCCCAUUCCCAUAUCCCCCAUCCCGGUACCUUGGCUCCCACUGUCCUCAGUGUCCCUGGACCUGUCCUGGCUCCUGAUGGCUCCAGGCUCCGGUGCCAUGGCCCCGA